rnacentral:rRNA from 1 species
UACGAAGGGGGCUAGCGUUGCUCGGAAUUACUGGGCGUAAAGGGAGCGUAGGCGGACAUUUAAGUCAGGGGUGAAAUCCCGGAGCUCAACUCCGGAACUGCCUUUGAUACUGGGUGUCUUGAGUGUGAGAGAGGUAUGUGGAACUCCGAGUGUAGAGGUGAAAUUCGUAGAUAUUCGGAAGAACACCAGUGGCGAAGGCGACAUACUGGCUCAUUACUGACGCUGAGGCUCGAAAGCGUGGGGAGCAAACAGG